UACGUAGGGGGCAAGCGUUGUCCGGAUUCAUUGGGCGUAAAGAGCGUGUAGGCGGCCAGGUAGGUCGGUUGUGAAAACUGGAGGCUCAACCUUCAGAGGUCGACCGAAACCAUCUGGCUAGAGUCCGGGAGAGGAGAGUGGAAUUCCUGGUGUAGCGGUGAAAUGCGCAGAUAUCAGGAAGAACACCCGUGGCGAAAGCGGUUCUCUGGGACGGUACUGACGCUGAGACGCGAAAGCGUGGGGAGCGAACAGG
rnacentral:rRNA from 1 species